rnacentral:rRNA from 1 species
AAUGAACGUUGGCGGCAUGGAUUAGGCAUGCAAGUCGAGCGAGGAGAGUUUUGAAGCUUGCUUUAGAACUCGGACAGCGGCGAAAGGGAGAGUAACGCGUAGUUAUGUGCCCUAGGGUCCGGAAUAGCCACGGGAAACUGUGGGUAAUGCCGGAUAAUAUCCCCGGAUCAAAGGUGUGAUUCCGCCCUAGGAGCAGACUGCGUCCUACUAGCUAGUUGGUGGGGUAAUGGCCUACCAAGGCAAUGAUGGGUAGCGGGUGUGAGAGCAUGACCCGGCUCUCGGGGACUGAACCACUGCCCAGACACCUGCGGGUGGCUGCAGUCGAGAAUCAUCGGCAAUUGGCGAAAGCCUGACCGAGCGAUGCCGCGUGCGGGAUGAAGGCCCUCGGGUUGUAAACCGCUGUCGUAGGGGAGGAAGGUUCCGUGAAGAGCGGAAUUUGACCUAUCCUAGGAGGAAGUACGGGCUAAGUUCGUGCCAGCCGCCGCCGUAAGAC